rnacentral:rRNA from 1 species
GACGAACGCUGGCGGCGUGCUUAACACAUGCAAGUCGAACGGAGUGGCGAACGGGUGAGUAACAUGUGGGUGAUCUGCCCUGCACUCCGGGAUUAGCUUGGGAAACUGGGUCCAAUACCGGAAUGUGCAGGAUGAGCUCGCUGCUAAUCUGCUUUUUGGUGUGGUAAUGGCCUACCGAGGCGUCGACGGGUAGCCGACCUGUGAGCGUGUACGGCGACAUUGGGACUGAGGUACGGCCCAGACUCCUACGGGAGGCAGCGGUGGGGAAUCUUGCACAAUGAGCGGAAGCCUAAUGCAGCGACGCCGCGUGGGGGAUGAAGGCCUUCGAGUUGUAAACUCCUUUCGACAGGGACGCGGUACCUGUAUAAGAAGCACCGGCUAACUACGUGCCAGCAGCCGCGGUAAUUC